rnacentral:tRNA from 1 species
CAUUAAGAAGCUAUAAUAGCACUAACCUUUUAAGUUAGAGUAUGGGAACAUA